rnacentral:rRNA from 1 species
CUACGGAGGGUGCAAGCGUUACUCGGAAUCACUGGGCGUAAAGCGCGCGCAGGCGGCUAUUUAAGUUGGAUGUGAAAGCCUACGGCUCAACCGUAGAACUGCAUCCAAAACUGUCGGGCUAGAGUCUGGGAGGGGAAGAUGGAAUUAGUUGUGUAGGGGUAAAAUCCGUAGAGAUAACUAGGAAUACCAAAAGCGAAGGCGAUCUUCUGGAACAGUACUGACGCUGAGGCGCGAAAGCGUGGGGAGCAAACAGGAGUAGAUACCCUAGUAGUCC